rnacentral:rRNA from 1 species
CGGACGGGUGAGUAAUGUCUGGGAAACUGCCUGAUGGAGGGGGAUAACUACUGGAAACGGUAGCUAAUACCGCAUAACGUCGCAAGACCAAAGGGGGGACCUUCGGGCCUCUUGCCAUCGGAUGUGCCCAGAUGGGAUUAGCUAGUAGGUGGGGUAACGGCUCACCUAGGCGACGAUCCCUAGCUGGUCUGAGAGGAUGACCAGUCACACUGGAACUGAGACACGGUCCAG